GUCCACGCCCUAAACGAUGUCUACUAGUUGUUGGUGGAGUAAAUCCAUGAGUAACGCAGCUAACGCGUGAAGUAGACCGCCUGGGGAGUACGGUCGCAAGAUUAAAACUCAAAUGAAUUGACGGGGCCCGCACAAGCGGUGGAUUAUGUGGAUUAAUUCGAUGCAACGCGAAAACCUUACCUGGCCUUGACAUGUAACGAACUUUCCAGAGAUGGAUUGGUGCUCGAAAGAGAACGUUAACACAGGUGCUGCAUGGCUGUCGU
rnacentral:rRNA from 1 species